GAGGGCAUAGCUCAUCAGGAGAGCACCUGCUUAGCAUGCAGGAGGUCCUGGGUUCAAUCCCCAGAACCUCCA
rnacentral:tRNA from 1 species